CGCGGGGUGGAGCAGUCUGGUAGCUCGUCGGGCUCAUAACCCGAAGGUCAUAGGUUCAAAUCCUGUCCCCGCUACUA
rnacentral:tRNA from 1 species